rnacentral:rRNA from 1 species
GUCGCCGGAACUGUAGGUGUAGCGGUGAAAUGCGUAGAUAUCUACAGGAACACCCAAGGCGAAGGCAGGCGACUGGGCCUGACCUGACGCUCAGGCACGAAAGCGUGGGGAGCAAACAGGAUUAGAUACCCUGGUAGUCCACGCCGUAAACGUUGUGUACUAGGUCCUGGGGCUUUUGACGGCUUCGGGGCCGAAGGAAAACUACUAAGUACACCGCCUGGGGAGUACGGUCGCAAGGCUAAAACUCAAAGGAAUUGACGGGGGCUCACACAAGCGGUGGAGCAUGUGGCUUAAUUCGAAGCAACGCGAAGAACCUUAUCCUGGGUUUGACAUGUAUGGAUUAACUCUGUGAAAGCGGAGCCACGCCUUUUAGGUGGAACAUACACAGGUGCUGCAUGGCUGUCGUCAGCUCGUGCUGUGAAGUGUUGGGUUAAGUCCCUUAACGAGCGAAACCCCUGUCGUUAGUUGCCAGCGAGUCAUGUCGGGGACUCUAACGAGACUGCCGGUGUCAAACCGGAGGAAGGCGGGGAUGACGUCAAGUCCUCAUGGCCUUUAUGCCCAGGGCUGCACACGUGCUACAAUGCGGCGUACAGACCGAAGCGAUACCGCAAGGUGGAGCAAAUCGGAAAAAGCGUCGCCCAGUUC